rnacentral:rRNA from 1 species
AGCGUAGACGGCAAGGCAAGUCUGAUGUGAAAACCCAGGGCUUAACCCUGGGACUGCAUCGGAAACUGUCUGGCUCGAGUGCCGGAGAGGUAAGCGGGAUUCCUAGUGUAGCGGUGAAAUGCGUAGAUAUUAGGAAGAACACCAGUGGCGAAGGCGGCUUACUGGACGGUAACUGACGUUGAGGCUCGAAAGCGUGGGGAGCAAACA